rnacentral:rRNA from 1 species
AUUGAACGCUGGCGGCAGGCCUAACACAUGCAAGUCGAACGGCAACACGAAACAGCUUGCUGCUUCGCUGACGCGUGGCAGGCGGGUGAGUGGUGUCCGGGGAACUCCCCGUUGGAGGGGGGUAUCAACUGGAAACGGUUACUCAAACCGCAUAACGUCGCAACACCAAAAAGCGGGACACCUUGGCCUCUUGCCCUCGUAUAUGACCAGAUGGGAUUAGCUUGUUGGUGGGGUAACGGCUCACCAAGGCGACGAUCCCUAGCUGGUCUGAGAGGAUGAUCAGCCACACUGGAACUGAGACACGGUCCAGACUCCUACGGGAGGCAGCAGUGGGGAAUAUUGCACAAUGGGCGCAAGCCUGAUGCAGCCAUGCCGCGUGUGUGAAGAAGGCCUUCGGGUUGUAAAGUACUUUCGGCGGGGAAGAAAAGAAGAAGGUUAAUACCUUGGCGCAUUGACGGUACCCGAAGAAGAAGCACCGGCUAACUCCGUG